rnacentral:rRNA from 1 species
GUCAGAGUUUGAUCCUGGCUCAGAUUGAACGCUGGCGGAAUGCUUUACACAUGCAAGUCGAACGGUAGAGGGGGUCAACCCCUUGAGAGUGGCGAACGGGUGAGUAAUAUAUCGGAACGUGCCCAGUCGUGGGGGAUAACGUAGUGAAAAUUACGCUAAUACCGCAUACGAUCUAAGGAUGAAAGCGGGGAUCGCAAGACCUCGCGCGAUUGGAGCGGCCGAUAUCAGAUUAGGUAGUUGGUA